rnacentral:misc_RNA from 1 species
GUAUUGUGUUGUUGAAUUGAAGUGUAAUCUGUAAAUGAGAAAUUAAGCUUAGCUCUUGGACCUCUAAAUUCAAUAGCUGCUCUGUCAUAAGCUCUAGCUGCGUCCUCAGCUGUAGUAAAUGUUCCAAGCCAUACUCUAGCUGCCCUUCUUGGAUCUCUAAUUUCCGCUGCCCAUUUUCCCCAUGGUCUCUGUCUCACUCCCCUGUAAUUCUUCUU